rnacentral:rRNA from 1 species
UACGGGGGGAGCAAGCGUUGUUCGGAUUUACUGGGCGUAAAGGGCGCGUAGGCGGCCUCUGCAAGUCGACUGUGAAAUCUCCGGGCUUAACCCGGAAAGGUCAGCCGAUACUGCAGGGCUAGAGUGCAGAAGGGGCAACUGGAAUUCUCGGUGUAGCGGUGAAAUGCGUAGAUAUCGAGAGGAACACCUGCGGCGAAGGCGGCCUACUGGGCUGCACCUGACGCUGAGCCGCGAAAGCUAGGGGAGCGAACGGG